AGCAGUAGCCGCGGUAAUGCGUAGGGUGCAAGCGUUAAUCGGAAUUACUGGGCGUAAAGCGUGCGUAGGCGGUGAGUUAAGUCUGCUGUGAAAUCCCCGGGCUCAACCUAGGAAUGGCAGUGGAUACUGGCUCGCUAGAGUGUGUCAGAGGAUGGUGGAAUUCCCGGUGUAGCGGUGAAAUGCGAAGAGAUCGGGAGGAACAUCAGUGGCGAAGGCGGCCAUCUGGGACAACACUGACGCUGAGGCACGAAAGCGUGGGGAGCAAACAGGAUUAGAUACCCCCGUAGUCCCUGUCUCUUAUAC
rnacentral:rRNA from 1 species